GAAACCAGGAGAAGUUUUAUGGAACAGCAUAUUCAUUGCCAAGAAUAACUGAAAAAUAAAGGCUGUAGUCCAGUUUUUCUCCUGUUUCCUUAAGACCAUUAUUGAUUUAUCAUGUAUGAAUCUAUUCAAACUAGUACUUUCAACCUUUAUUAGCACUUGGAAUAUUCUUAAUUUCUUGGAGCUAGUUGAUUUUUUAUAAAACACUAAAGUAGCAUUUCAUUUGAUUUUUAAAUUUAUCUAAAUAUUAUACUUGUCUGUUCUUUCACUUCUCUCUCCUUCUAGCUUUGUUUUCUUGCUUUAGCCAUGAAUAUAACAUCAUAAUUGUCUAUUAUUUCUAAAAUCAUUGUAUAUUCCAGUUUUGUAUGUUUAUUUUGUUAGCUGCAAAUACCAUCAGAUGAAAAACUUGAGGAAUUUUGGAUUGAUUUUAAUCUUGGGAGUCAGACUCUCUCAUUCUACAUUGCUGGAGAUAAUGAUGAUCAUCAAUGGGAAGCAGUUACUGUGCCAGAGGAAAAAGUACAAAUAUACAGCAUUGAAGUGAGAGAAUCAAAGAAGCUACUGACAAUAAUUCUGAAAAAUACAGUAAAAAUUAGCAAAAGAGAAGGGAAAGAAUUGCUUUUGUAUUUUGAUGCAUCACUAGAAAUCACUAAUGUAACUCAAAAAAUUUUUGGUGCAAAUAAACAUAGGGAAUCUAUCAGAAAACAAGGUAUUUCAGUUGCCAAAACGUCG
rnacentral:sRNA from 1 species